rnacentral:lncRNA from 1 species
UGCAGACGAGCCAACACCACCAUCUAUAGUGGAUUGCAACAUGGGUUUUCCCGUGGCUGUUCCGAAACUGGUCUGUCUGCGAGGCUUGGUUUUUUGGGUUGGUUGACUGAUUUCAACAUCAGAAUCAUCAGUAUCAUCGACAAGACUGAUAAGCCUUUUUCUGCUUCCUUUCUGCUUCCCAUCAGCAUGAGUUACACCAGCUUCCUGAGAAGCUAUGUGAUCACCAACCUCAGCUUCUGCAGCAAGAGCAGCUAAGACUUCCUGAGUGGCAAAGUCCACUGUAUUUGGCGGGGAGUAAUUCGGAUCAAACGUCGACUGAUCUUCAGACUGGCUCCUUGAUCCCAUGGUCUCUCUCGCUCUCAACUCUCAAGUUUUCUGGUUUUUUUUUCACGCCGUGGAAUGAAAUAACCUUUUUAGGGUUUCCUAAAUUUUGUCUAUUUUUAAACAUUUUUGUUAAUAUUUUUUUAAAAAUUUGUUACUAUUAUUUAUUUUCAAAGUUUCAAAUUUUACUACACAAGUACACAAACACAAAUCUCACGUUCAAAUUUACUAUAUCAACUACGCAAUGCAAGCUAAACUAGACAGUGAUCCGAUAACCUAGUGAUUAGUGAUUUUUUGCCUCUCUUCCCGAUAACCUAGUGAUUAGUGAAUCUAAGUUUCACAUGUUUAAGAGCUUACUAACCUGAGGUCCUUAAAGCUGCUAUAUCGGCUGAAGCUGGAAACUACUCGACCAGGUGGUGUAUGUACUCGUGCUGGAAAACGAGUUGUGCAAUCCUUCAUUGUUCUCAUCAC